rnacentral:rRNA from 1 species
UACGGAGGGGGCGAGCGUUGUUCGGAAUUACUGGGCGUAAAGGGCUCGUAGGCGGCCAACUAAGUCAGACGUGAAAUCCCUCGGCUUAACCGGGGAACUGCGUCUGAUACUGGAUGGCUUGAGUGUGGGAGAGGGAUGCGGAAUUCCAGGUGUAGCGGUGAAAUGCGUAGAUAUCGGGAGGAACACCUAUGGCGAAGGCAGCUCGCUGGGACGUUACUGACGCUGAGACGCGAAAGCGUGGGGAGCAAACAGG